CCUACGGGAGGCAGCAGUGGGGAAUAUUGGACAAUGGGCGAAAGCCUGAUCCAGCAAUGCCGCGUGAGUGAUGAAGGCCUUCGGGUCGUAAAGCUCUUUUACCAGGGAUGAUAAUGACAGUACCUGGAGAAUAAGCUCCGGCUAACUCCGUGCCAGCAGCCGCGGUAAUACGGAGGGAGCUAGCGUUGUUCGGAAUUACUGGGCGUAAAGAGUACGUAGGUGGUUAUUCAAGUCAGAGGUGAAAGCCCGGGGCUCAACCCCGGAACUGCCUUUGAAACUAGAUAACUAGAGUCUUGGAGAGGUUAGUGGAAUUCCGAGUGUAGAGGUGAAAUUCGUAGAUAUUCGGAAGAACACCAGUGGCGAAGGCGACUAACUGGACAAGUACUGACGCUGAGGUACGAAAGCGUGGGGAGCAAACAGGAUUAGAUACCCUGGUAGUCCACGCCGUAAACGAUGAUAACUAGUUGUUCGGUCACUUGGUGACUGAGUGACGCAGCUAACGCAUUAAGUUAUCCGCCUGGGGAUACGGUCGCAAGAUUAAAACUCAAAGUAUAGUCGCGNGNGAGACGCGACGACGACGACGACGGAGGAG
rnacentral:rRNA from 1 species